CGAACCGUGCCCCGCACGCCUAGGCGCAUGCAGGCAAACGGAAGCAUACGGGAGGGCCGAGCCAACGCCACUGGGCAGGGUUUGGGGGAAGCGACGAAGAACAUUCAAGGGACAGCCAGAUGCGUGAGGUGCUUCGAGCGAUAGCCGAACAGCCGUACCGUCUUAAGCAACACGCCCA